AAGGCAGACAUUACAUCUGGUGUGUUUAUUGAGUUGAGAAGGUGGUCUUGAUUCUUGGGUUUUACUUGUUGCAAUAAGUAAGAGUUUUUCUUGCGUGCUUGAAGUACUUCCUUGGUUUUAUUUCCAGUACCGACUCAAUUCAUGAAUUGCGCAUCGAAGUAACUAGAUUGCCCAGAAAUGGUUUUAACCACGCCCUUUUCGCUAACAACGACUGAUUAAAUCCACAGUACGUAGUUUGAUAGUAGGUGGGCGAACAUUC
rnacentral:snoRNA from 1 species